UUCACUUCCGUCUUUUCCUUAACUGCUCGCCCCCGUCAUGCUGCCAGCGUCUCAGCAAUGAUGCCAGCAAUUCCUCCGGCAUUCUGCCCUUCCCCCACCCCUUGCGGCCAUGGCCCAAGUUACAGCCUAUGGGACCUCGCUCCUCCCGCCCCGCAAGUGAGAGCGGAACGCAUGGAGUCCCCCCGGGCACGGCAAGGAAGCCAUCACUGCCUGCCAGGACCUGCUUUGCAAAACCAAACCCAAUGACAGAGAGCAACAUGAAUAUGUCUGACCGACGUUCAUCGCUGACCAUGAGUGACAUCCUCUAGUCCAGCUCAGAGAAAGAGAGACACAUGAAUAUGAUUGACUGCGAAAAGAACAAGAAGAACUCUGCCUUGGGCCAGAAAAACAGUAUAAGAACAGACUGUACCAGACCACAUUUGUGAACAGAGUGGGUUUGGUGUGAUAGAGGCCGGACCAUGAUUCACCCGGCGUCGAUUCCCGGGGUCGAUGUUGUCUCUUAUUUUUGUGGCUUUUGAUACUGUAUAUCGGUCACACAAUAAAUUCUAUUUUUGAUUUUUUAAUUAAA